UAGUUUGAUCCUGGCUCAGGAUGAACGCUAGCGGCAGGCUUAAUACAUGCAAGUCGAGGGGCAGCAUGACUGUAGCAAUACAGUUGAUGGCGACCGGCAAACGGGUGCGGAACACGUACGCAAUCUACCCAAAACUGAUGAAUAGCCCUCCGAAAGGAGGAUUAAUACAUCGUAACUUAAUGAAGUGGCAUCACUUUAUUAAUAUAGCUCCGGCGGUUUUGGAUGAGCGUGCGCCUGAUUAGGUAGUUGGCGGGGUAACGGCCCACCAAGCCUGCGAUCAGUAACUGGUGUGAGAGCACGACCAGUCACACGGGCACUGAGACACGGGCCCGACUCCUACGGGAGGCAGCAGUAAGGAAUAUUGGUCAAUGGACGCAAGUCUGAACCAGCCAUGCCGCGUGAAGGAUGAAGGUCCUCUGGAUUGUAAACUUCUUUUAUGUGGGACGAAACCUCUUAUUCUUAAGAGACUGACGGUACCAUAGGAAUAAGCACCGGCUAACUCCGUGCCAGCAGCCGCGGUAAUACGGAGGGUGCAAGCGUUAUCCGGAUUCACUGGGUUUAAAGGGAGCGUAAGAGGGCAGGUAAGUCAGUGGUGAAAUCUUCGAGCUUAACUCGGACACUGCCGUUGAUACUAUCUGUCUUGAAUACCGUGGAGAUGAGCGGAAUAUGUCAUGUAGCGGUGAAAUGCUUAGAUAUGACAUAGAACACCAAUUGCGAA
rnacentral:rRNA from 1 species